AGUUAAACUAGGGAAUUGCUUAUAUGUUAAAAAAAAAAACAACAACAAAACGAGUAAAGACUUGUUUGAAUGGCGAUCACUUGGAAAAUAGGAAGAAAAAGAAAUACGUAUGUUGCUAGUUUCUCUGGAAAACCCUUC
rnacentral:lncRNA from 1 species